rnacentral:lncRNA from 1 species
UUUAAACAAAUGGACACAUAAGAUACUACACUAUAUUUAACCUUCGUUCUAAUAAAAAUAAUAAAAUAUAAAUUUUGAUCGCAUUUGCGCCGUUCUGCAUUUCCUUUUUUUUAUUCUUUCACAUGCGUAGAUUUUGUCUUAUAUUUGCGUCGAUCUGCAUUUCAUUUUUUUUCUUCUUCACUUGCGUAGAUUUUGUCUUUCGUUUGCGCCGAUUGUGUACAGGUAAGUUUUUUUUUUCCCCGAUUUAUGGGCAUUAUGUUU